rnacentral:miRNA from 1 species
CAGAGAGAGAGAGAGAGAGAGAGAGAGAGAGAGAGAGAGGCAGGCAGACACUCAGACCCAAGCGCGCGCUCUCUCUCUCUCUCUCUCUCUCUCUCUCUCUCACACA